UACGGAGGGUGCAAGCGUUAUCCGGAUUCACUGGGUUUAAAGGGUGCGUAGGUGGGUUGGUAAGUCAGUGGUGAAAUCCCCGAGCUUAACUUGGGAACUGCCAUUGAUACUAUUUGUCUUGAAUAUCCUGGAGGUAAGCGGAAUAUGUCAUGUAGCGGUGAAAUGCUUAGAUAUGACAUAGAACACCCAUUGCGAAGGCAGCUUACUACGGGAUUAUUGACACUGAGGCACGAAAGCGUGGGGAUCAAACAGG
rnacentral:rRNA from 1 species